rnacentral:SRP_RNA from 1 species
UCUGGGCACGGUGGCACGUGCCUGUAGUCCCAGCUACUCAGGAGGCUGAGGUGGGAGGAUCACUUGAGCCCAGGAGUUCAGGGCUGCAGUGUGCUAUGCCGAUCGGGUGUCAGCACUAAGUUCGGCAUCAAUAUGGUGACCUCCCGGGAGCGGGGGACCACCAGGUUGCCUAAGGAGGGGUGAACCGGCCCAGAUCAGAAAUGGAGCAGGUCAAAACUCCUGUGCUGAUCAGUAGUGGGAUAGCGCCUGUGAAUAGCCCCUGCACUCCAGCCUGGGCAACAUAGCCAGACCCCAUCUCU